UUCCCAUUAUUACCCUAUGGCCAGCUCUCUGAGACGGCUCUGAAGCUUCUGAGCUGCUUCGGCUGGAUUGAGGUGGAAACCCAGUCUGGAGCUCUGGAUCGGGUUGUGGCCAUCCGAAGCUGCCGGAUUGGAUUGCUGCUGAAUCACACAGGCCUACUAGACAAUUUAUCAGUGGCAGCACUGAAAGACCAUUAUUGCUGUGCGACAUCCAAGCCAUAUCCUGGUUCAUCCUUGUUGUACCGUCAGUGAAACCUCCAGCCACAGUGAGUUUCUAGUUUUGGGAUCCUUUUCUUCUGUGAGGAUUUGUGAAGCGGAAAACGUUUUUGUACAAACAG
rnacentral:lncRNA from 1 species